CAUUAAGUCAUAAAUUGUCUACCUCGCAAUUUGAUUCAAAUGUACAGACUUUGUAAGCAUUCGGCAAACUUCAUUCCAGACGACAAAUAGUUUUGAAAUGUAUUUAAUCGGCUUUCUUUCGAUUUGCUGUUGUUUCUUGUGUUAUUAUGUCGAUUGCGCAUUCUGCCAACAACCCGUCACAGUAACAAAAGGAUGUAUAGAAAAACACAACUGCAACGCCGGAUUCAAAGCACUUGUUCAGUCUGAAGAUGUUGCGGCAGCGAUGAAGGAAGUUUCGUCAUUCUUGAACGCGGAGUAUAAACGCCGUUGUUGGCCAUGCGAAAAUCACCAGAACCUUUCAGCUACACCACGUGAUUGUCAGGACUGGUACACUUCGGGGUUCCGUAAUUCCGGGGUUAAUACCAUCUAUCCGAGUCCGGGAUUUACAUUUCAGGUCCGUUGUGACAUGGUGACGGAUGGGGGAGGAUGGACGGUAAUACAAAGACGGGUGUCCGCCAGCGACUUCUACAAAUCUUGGGCCGAAUACAAGGCCGGGUUCGGCGAUGAACACAACUUUUGGCUAGGCAAUGAAAAAAUCUUUGCACUGACAGGCUCAGGGGGCUACAGACUACGCGUUGAUUUGACAGCAGUCGGAGGGGCAACCAAAUACGCGUUAUAUCAACAGUUUGCAGUCGCAGGGGAGGAUGAUUUGUACAGAUUGUCAGUCGCAAAUUAUAGCGGAACUGCGGGUGAUAGUCUGUCGUAUUCGAACAACAUGUCGUUCACCGUUAAAGAUCGUGAUAAUGAUUUGUAUACAUGGAACUGUGCUACGGUUUACGAAAGCGCCUGGUGGUACAAUGCAUGCUGCUACGCAGAUUUAAAUAAGCCGUAUUCUGGAGUUCUUUACUGGUAUCGCUUUCAAGAGCGUAUAUCAACCACGAAAAUGAAGAUAAGGAGAAAAUAACUGAUAUGAUUAGAAAUAUAAAACAUUAUAUGUGUAACCCAUUUACCAUCUAAUUAAUGGAAAGGUUUUUGUUCACAUAAGGUAUUUAAUGGUGUUGAGUUCCGAUAUUCACAUAAUCAGGGUGCAGGCCCCCGUGACUUCGUGGGGUUCCCUAUUUUAACAAUUAAAAUUAAUCAAACACGUUCAUAAAAAAAGCAAUUUACACAGAAAGAUGACCCCGAAAUGAAGAAGACUGCAAAAUAUAUAUUGUUAUAUAUAGCUCAAGUCAUUAACUAUUUAUAACUAAUGCAAUUUACUAUCUGCUCAUAACCCUUUCAAUAAAUUUCAAUUAGUUGUGGUCUGCUUUUUUGCCAAGUUGUUUCAUGUGUAAAAACAUGGAGUAGCUUAUAAAUCUUUAUUUCUUAACAUGGAAGAGGCGCAUCUAGAACAUUGCUAUGCUGUAAAUUGUUAAAGAAAAUCGUGAAUCUCACAGUAUUAUUUUCAAUAUCGUCGCUGUCGUUCUCAAACCUCGUAGCUCCAAAAUUUUCAAAAUAUUUUUUUCGUCUUUUCCGAACAUAUUAAGUCUGGCGCGUGUUUUAUGCUAUAUCUCGUAGCUCUACGCCAAUCAGAGCCCUUGAAAAAGCCAAGUGACGAAAUGUUGUAGAAUGAUUGUUGGCUUUUUUUCCGGCGAAAAGUCGUAGCGACACCAUUUCACCUAUAGGUACGUCGUUUCGUUUGGACAAAUUUGACAAAAACGUUUUUAUAAUUUUUUUAUUUGCAACUACGAGGUUUCCUAUCAGGACGAAUUGUCGUACCUCAUAAAAAUGACAAAACUGUGGUGACAAAAUAUCGUAUCUACCAUGGCUAUCAGUAUGACUUACGCGUCUACGGCUUAUACCGUAUUUUGCAGCUUCAUUUGUUUGGUAUUUUUACAGAAUUUCAAUUUCUAAAACAUCGUUAUAAAAAAAUGAGACGGUUUUUUCUCUCUCCUGAAAAGUUGGCAUUUUGUAGCUACGAGGUUUGAGAACGACAGCGACGAUAUGUAGAAUUCAUCAAUUAUUUUCACUGUCGACACAUCUGCACUUAUAAUGAUGAUGGAAUUCUCAUAUAAAGAGGUUCCUAGUUAUGGGCAGUUGACUACAUAUAAAUAUUAUUAAAGACAUAAUGCUUAAAUGUGAUAAUGUAAUAGUAUAAACUAUACUGGACAU